rnacentral:rRNA from 1 species
CAAUAAGCGGAGGAAAAGAAACCAACAGGGAUUGCCCUAGUAACGGCGAGUGAAGCGGCAACAGCUCAAAUUUGAAAUCUGGCUACUUUGUAGUCCGAGUUGUAAUUUGUAGAGGAUGCUUUUGGUGAGGUGCCUUCCGAGUUCCCUGGAACGGGACGCCAUAGAGGGUGAGAGCCCCGUACGGUUGGAUGCCAAACCUUUGUAUAGCUCCUUCAACGAGUCGAGUAGUUUGGGAAUGCUGCUCUAAAUGGGAGGUAUAUCUCUUCUAAAGCUAAAUACCGGCUAGAGACCGAUAGCGCACAAGUAGAGUGAUCGAAAGAUGAAAAGCACUUUGAAAAGAGAGUUAAACAGCACGUGAAAUUGUUGAAAGGGAAGCGCCUAUGACCAGACUUGUCUCUAUCAGUUUUGCUAGUUUUCGGACUGGUUUACUCUGUUAGUACAGGCCAGCAUCAGUUUGUUGUUAGGGAGAAAGGCUUAGGGAAUGUGGCUCCCUCGGGAGUGUUAUAGCCCUUUGCAUAAUACCUUUCGGCAGACUGAGGACCGCGCUUCGGCAAGGAUGCUGGCGUAAUGG